AGAGAAAACCUGGCCGUCGCUCCUCGCACUCGCGCCGCCCAGCUCUUCCUCUUUCUCCCGCGUCACCUCCCUCUCUCCCUCCAACCCUAGACCCGCGCCCGUCUCCCUGCCCCGCCGCCGUCCAGAUCCAACCCCACCCUGCCGUCAUUCUCCUUCGCCCAGACCAAUCCCAUCUCAACCUCCCUCGAUCUUUCUCUCUCUAAAAAAAACCUCCCUCGAUCUCCCGUACAUCCCCUGCCAUCGCGUCGCUGCCGUCGCUGCCGCUCGACUCGGCCCCCGUCCCCGACCUCACGCUGCCCGGCGCCUCCUCCCCACACCAAGGACCUCCCCUUGCUCCGCCUCUUCUUCCUAUCCGGCUAGAACUGCGGCGCACGGCCUCUCAUGCUCGCUCGCGACCCUCAGCCGUGUCUAGGGUUUCGGGCUGGGCAGCGCCUUCGCCGCCGGCGCGGCUCCGGUGGGCUCUGACGACUCCUCUCCGUCUCCUCCCUCGCCCCCACGUGCGGUUCCACUUCCCGCUGGCCACGAGGUGCAGCCUUGCAGGGGCGCAUCGGGCUGGGUCGCCUCUGUUUCUGAUUUGGUGCAGCAGACGCUGUGGGGUUGAGGUGUUCUUGGACGAUUUGCUUAAGGUAUGUUUCUAUACAUUGGCAUGAUAUCUAAGACAAGUCUUUGACCAUAGGAUUGUCAUCAAUUUUGUUAUUUAGUUAUACAGAACUGCAUAACAUAGAACAAUACUGCUUCUAAAUGGAUGUUGCCAUUGACAAGGUUACUAAUAUAACUUGGUGUCGUUGCAGGCAGUGUAGUUUACACUCUAUAUUAGUUUAUCUAGCUAUUUACAGCUCACUCUGAUCUAAUUAGAUAAAUGUUGAACAUAGGCCAUCUACUGUUGAUGUCCUGUUGGACAAGGCAUGAUCUAAUCAGAUAAAUCUUGAACAUAAGCCUCCUACUGUUGAUGUCCUGUUGAUUCAAAGUAAAUAGUCCAUAUACUUCUAACAGGUAGUGUAAUUUUUUAGACGAGCAGUCAGCGCCGCAAUGCAAUGCAAAAGUCGGUCUUGAAAUUUCGUUGCAAAAUCAACCAAAAAUAAUCUUUCUCCAUAAAUUAUCUAUCCAGGUUGUCAGUACAUCUUAUAACUAGGUCACUUCCACUGGAUCUUUCUGUUAACAAGCAGCUAGACCCAAGGUACUAAUGUCCAAUCGCUUGAUCAUUUUUAUAUUUAGUCUCUCAAGGUUUUUUUUCAUAGUUUAUCAUUCUUCAAGUUCCACUUUCAUUUUACUGAGUCGUGUCCAAAUGCCUUCUCUAUAAAUCAUUCUAAAACAAGGUGUGUUGCUGCUAUGCUCUGAUGUAUACUUACGUGGUUCUUGCUUCUUAUUUGUCCAGUGUGUGUGUAUGAUGCUGUUGGGUUGUUGACAUGGCGCGUGGUCCGGUUGCGGCUCAUGCUUAAGCCACGGUCGAGCCUCGUGUUGGGUUGGUAGGUGGUCGUGGGCGUGACCGUGGGCGGUCUGCUGGUCGUCGUGGUCGAGCCACUGGCCGUGGAGGUUCUAAUAUAGGGUGUGCCCCUGUUUCUGAUCAUGUCGCUGCUUGCCGGGACAGGCGUAGGGGUAUGAGUCGGUGGAUGCCUGCUACUGGAGCUGAGCCUAUCGCCAGGCGUGAGCGUGGCGCUCGGCAGGUGCCUGCUGCUGGGCGUGGCGCCAUACAUCGGUCAAGUGGUAGGGGUGUUCGUAGUGCUGAUUCUGGGCAUGCAACUGCUGCUAUACAUGUGUCUGUCCCUGGUCGUGCUGCUGAUCCUGGGCACGACGCCGCUUCUGUGCAUGUGUCUAUCCCUGGUUGUGCUGCUGGUCCUGGGUACACCGCUGCUCCUAGGCGUGUGUUGGUCCUUGGGAUUGCUUGAUAAUUUGUGGAUGCUUGAUAAUUUGUCCAGGUAGAGAUCCACCACUGAUGACACAAGUCUGCUACCCUGCUCCUGUGAAGGUCACUGAAGGCCUGCGCCUCCCACCGUGAUUUCUUUUUCUAAAAUUAAAUCAAGUCUCAAUGAAUGAGAUGGAAGCGUUGUUCAGGAUAACAGGAUGGUUUCUGGCAAACAUUUAUCAGGAACUUCAGCUAGGUAUGAAGCACAAUAAAGGUGGCAAUAAGAUGUGCGGGCAAUUAUCAGUGUUUUCGUGACCAUGCUGAUGUGGAGCUGCCAUUGAGGCACAUUUUGCCUCCAAGAUAUCAAACCCUCCAACCUCCACUUUCUUUAGGAUUGUCCCGAGCCCAUCUCACCUCGGUCUUCUCUCCCCCAUGGAUUCGAUUGUGUGCAUGGAUGAGGAAAGAGUCAUUGCAAGAGGUGUUGGUGGAGACGGAGGUUGAGUGGACGACCGACAUACACGGCUUCAUCUAUAACUGCCUCUAUGGCUUCCUCGGCCUCAAUGUUAGCCUCCCUGCUUCACUACUGCAAAAGGGUUUGCAGCUUUGUGUGGUGAUGGCCCUGCCCCUGGCCAAUAUCGAUGCGCAUAUGAGUGAUCUUUGGCUAUGGAGGCGUAUCUUCUGAUGGUCUACAACAGUGUUUUGUUUCUCUGCUGGCUCCGAUUAUGUUAGGUCAUGUUGGUUGGCAUACAUUUAUUUCUGUAUUUGGCACUUCUGGUUGGCUGAUGUUGUUAUGUUGUCCAAGGAAACACAAUACUUACGUUGGUGUCUACGACAGACUUUUGUUGUUCUACUGCCUGUACCCUGUUUGUCUAGAAGAUGAAGGGGAUGGAUGCAAACUUAUGUAUGCAAUGCCAGGAUGAUCAUGGUAGCUUAUGUGAUUGUCGCUGGUCUUCUAUAUCAACGGUUUGCUCGAUGUUUUUUGUGUUA